AUUGAACGCUGGCGGCAGGCCUAACACAUGCAAGUCGAGCGGAGCGGCGGACGGGUGAGUCAUACCUAGGAAUCUGCCUGGUAGUGGGGGAUAACGUUCGGAAACGGACGCUAAUACCGCAUACUAUCAGAUGAGCCUAUGUCGGAUUAGCUAGUUGGUGAGGUAAUGGCUCACCAAGGCUACGAUCCGUAACUGGUCUGAGAGGAUGAUCAGUCAAACGGGAACAGAGACACGGUGCAGAGGCCUACGGGAGGCAGCAGUGGAGAAGAUGGGACAAUGGGCGAAAGCGUGAUCCAGCCAUGCCGCGUGUGUGAAGAAGGUCUUCGGAGUGUAAGGCACUUUAAGUUGGGAGGCGUUACCGACAGAAUAAGCACCGGCUAACUCCGUGCCAGCAGCCGCGGUAAUUC
rnacentral:rRNA from 1 species